UACGUAGGGUGCGAGCGUUAAUCGGAAUUACUGGGCGGAAAGCGUGCGCAGGCGGUGAUGUAAGACCGAUGUGAAAUCCCCGGGCUUAACCUGGGAACUGCAUUGGUGACUGCAUCGCUCGAGUAUGGCAGAGGGGGGUAGAAUUCCACGUGUAGCAGUGAAAUGCGUAGAGAUGUGGAGGAAUACCGAUGGCGAAGGCAGCCCCCUGGGUCAAUACUGACGCUCAUGCACGAAAGCGUGGGGAGCAAACAGG
rnacentral:rRNA from 1 species